AAAUAAUGGGCUUUGUUUUACUUAUAUUGACAUUUUAACAUGAACUAAUUAUAUAUCGGUUGGUAAUUCUCACAAAGUCACAAUAGUUGAAAUUGUUUGAUGGUAUUUCACUCUAUGGAUGUCGAAUGCCAAUUAUCCCAUGUGUUAUUUUUUAUUUUGGUUGGAAAAUUUGGGUAAGCUGUGGGGUUAUUUGGAGUGUGAAACAGCUGUUAUAAGCAAGAUUUUGAUAGAAAGUUUUUCUUUUCAGGAGUUCCA
rnacentral:misc_RNA from 1 species